rnacentral:misc_RNA from 1 species
UCAAGACCAUAAUUCAAUGUGUUCUCAAGUCUGUAAGUGUUUGCAUCCCAUAUACAGAUAGUCCCAUCCUCAGAAGAUGUAAUUAUGAUGGGAAACUCUGGAUGGACACAGACUGCACAAACAUUGUUCGUUUGGCUUUCUAAUGUAUGGACACAAGUUUUGGCUUCGUAGUCCCAAACCUUGACAGUAUAGUCAUCAGAACCGCUUAGCAGAUAUGUUUUUUCACUGUUGAUGAAGUAAUCAACAGAAUUUACCCCUUUUGAGUGCCCUUCCAAUGUAGAAAUUGGAGCAGGGGAAUUCAGAUUCCAAAUCUUUAUAGUUCCAUCUAGUGAUGCACUUGCAAAUGUAUUACAAUCUUUUGGAUUAAAAACUGAUUGCAUCACAUAAUGAGAAUGUCCCUCAUAGGUCUGAGUGCACUCCCAGCCCUUCUCCCAAUCCCACAUCUUUAUUAGCAUAUCAUCAGAUGAUGACAGUACACAGGGAAGAGAAGGGUGGACAGACACACACCUAAUGUAAUCUUUGUGUGCCUCAAAUUCUUUGAUCAUUUCCAUUGUAUCUUGAUCAUAUACGCGAAUGAACUUGUCAUCUGAUCCAGUGACAAUCCAGUUCUUUCUUGCAAUGAAUUUUGCUGACCUCACUGGGGAUUCAGUGACCUUAAAAGACCUCUCCAGGGUCUGCGACUGGUAGUUCCAGAUACAGACAGUUCCUGAAUACAAACUUGCAAGAAUCCAUGGUUCAGUUGGAUGUAGAUC